rnacentral:lncRNA from 1 species
CUUUUUAUAAUCAGUCAGCCCCUCUGCUUUCUGUGUCCACAAACUCUUCUUGCCAAAUUCAUCUGGUGAGGAAACUAAUGGACAACGGAAACAUUCCUCUGACUGUCCUGCUUCACGUCCUGCCUGCUGCAUAUCAGCAUGAGAGUACUCUCGGUUUCUAAAACUGAGCUGCCUCGUUAUUAACAGGCUCAUUUACCAGGACACUGAGCUAGCAAAUCAGAUGCACACAACUUGCCUGUCUGUGCUGUCUCCAAACUCUGCCUUCCUGCAGGAUGUGCUCUUCCCUCCAAGGUCAAUGCAGGUAACUUACUGUAUUUGUGGUGCAAUCUGAAAGAGAAGCUUUGUGAUUGCUAAAAAGAGAAACGUCUUAUCUGGGAGCCAGCAGAUUGUAACUGGAAGAAGCACACCGGUGUGAGUGUGAUGGGCGUGUGGUUGCCAUUUCAGCACUUUCUCGUUGUGGGGCUGAUGAAGGCAGAGCCGAGGUGAGGCCCAUGCAGGCAGCAGACAUGGGGAUGGGAGGAUGGAGCUGAGGAAGGGGACACUGCAGUGAAGCACAAGUUGGAUAGUGGGCUUCAGGGAGAAGAGCGGCAGUGGCAAAGAGCAGGGCCAAGCUGGAAAAGAUCAGAUAGCCUCAAUUUUAAAUAGUGGUUAGUUAUGCAUUGGGUUAUUUUGUCAAUGAAGAAGUUGUAUGAACUUCUAUGACAUAAAAAAAUGCACAUUUUUAGCAAAGUCUCAACAUGACUUGCAUAGCACUUUAAAAAACAAAGUUUAUAUUUUAAAGAGAAAUACUUAAGCAGCCUGAACCAAUGUGUAUGACCUGUGAGCAAAAAGGAGCUCAUGCUGUUAGAGUACUUAAAUACUGAAUCAUUUCUCAUAUUCUGUGCCAGAUGAUCAUUCAAAUCUAUAGAAGUUGUACCAGUAUGAUCUGAUACAUCAAGAGGCAAGCGGGUUACCUCAGUAAUCCUGAUCUUAUCAGAAUACAGAAGCUAUGGUAUCGCCUCGUUCUAUCUGGCCGCCUUAUUGUUAAUAGCCUCCUCUGCCCAGGCAGCUGCGCCUGUGAGAGAAGAACAACAUGUUCCCUCCAGGACAGAGCGUGGAGUUAUUUCAUGUCCAAGGAGAGAUAAAACGCAAGCUGCUCUAAAGGCACUUCCAAAUCGCCCUGUAAAAGGAAACUGCAGAGAGACAAGCUGCUGGCAAGACGAGAGAUCAAAGGGUUAUGUAAAGGACUUACUGACCACGCUUCUCUUUCAUCGGGCCAGAUUGUGCAACCUGCCAGGUGCAGAAUACUUGCCGUUUCUAAGGGGUGAGCGAGUAUUACAGAUACGUGAGGAGCGGAUAUCUUCAUUGAAACAACACAGAAAGGAAAGUGGUUUUGCACUGAGCUGCGAAGCGGGAGGGAACAGGUGGCAGAUGGAGAUAUUUCGGAGGGCUGCUCUGACACUUUGUAGCAUGCCAGCGAAAAGAAUUUAAGCUUCGUUGUUAUAAGAGUUGGUAAUUCGCUUUUUCUUCCUUUUUAUUCACAAUUUCCAAAAUGGAAUAAACAAGGAAAAUAGUCAGGUGACA